GCGGGGACCGAACCCGCAACCUCAUGGUUCCUAGUCGUAUUUGUUAACCACUGUGCCACGACAGGAACUCCGCACAUCCUUUUUUUAAAAAUGUUUCGCCAGCUUAAAUUUUGUUUUGCUAUUGGCAAGAAAAUUCAAACUAAGAAUGAAUUAGCAUGUUGAAUAUCAUUUUCAUACUUACUUUUAAUCAUCUGUCCAUCUAUCCAUCCAUGUGCACAGAUACCUAGAAUCUUCUUUGCCUAGUGUUAUGUCUCUAUUGGUGUUUGACUUGAUUUUUUUGCAUUUUUUCCUUCUUUGCAUUGCAUACAUUCUUGAAAAUAUUUUACUUUAAAAAUGCCAGAAUGUUAAAAGUACUUAGUUUUGGGUGUUAGGGCUAUGAGGUUUUUUGUUUUUUUUUUUGGUACUUCUAAUUUCCAGUAAUUGGGGUGAGUAGAGAGAGGUAAUAACAUCUCCCCUACUGAACCUUGCCUGUAUGUUAUACAUGCGGACUUGAGCUUCCUAGGCAACUAACUAGACCCUGGGACUGUUGGUACCGUUGCUACUCCAUCUGUCUCUCCCUGCCAUGAUUUACAUUCUUCCAUAUCAUUUUCUUCCCUUUACUCAAUCGGGGCCACACAGCGCUUUGUAAUCCAUCAGAGUAGGGUUGUAGCUUUCGUUCAAUGAAAAAGUCCCCCUUCCCCUUUUUGUUUUCAUGGAAAGCUGUUGAUGAGAGAUGUGUGGGGUGAAGAAGAUGGGGUUAUGAUCGGUUUUAGAAGUUCAUGUAGCUGGCUGCUGUGCAGAGACCAGUUUGGAGGGAGGCCAGAGAGAAUGUGGGUAGAUCAGUUAGCCAUCCUGCCAAAAGAUAAUGGUGAUUUACAUAAAGGAAGUGUCUGUAGAGGUGGAAAUAAGAGGCCAUGCUUGAAAAACAGGGUAGGAUUUAGUGGAAGAUAAGGUCUGGGGAGGGAGUAUUGGGGUCAUUCCUAAGUUCUGAGCUUGCGCAAUAGGAUGGCGCUGGGGUCAUUGCCUGAGAUAAGAUAGGAUGGAAGAGGAGCUCGAUUUUACUUCUGAUUCAUGAGGCUGGAAUAGGUGACCUUGGGCUGGGUUUCAAAAUCAAUAGCCUCACAAUGUGUAACAUUGUAUGAUUUCGGCUGGGGCCCUUGAGUGCACUCUGGGGGGCCUGUCCCUCUAACUUGUAAGCAUUUUCUGGAGAGAGGUUCCUUCUGUAUACAUGCUCGGGUCCGGGGAGAGCCAUGACUCAAAGGUUAAGAAACACUAGGUUUUAUCACAAUGACCGUUCAAUAAAUACUUGCCAUGGACCCGUGAAGCCCAAGAACAAUAUCAGUGUGUGGGAAUUUCCGGUUCAGCUUUGUAGCAGAGAGUUUGAACUGCUCUGAAGAGCCUUUUCUCAGACCUCUUCCCUGGUUGACGGAGACCAGUCAUCUACCUCUUAAUUCCUUCGCCAGUUGUUAUGCGCUGUUUACAAAAAUGUAGCCUGGUGCUUAAGCUUUUGUACAGUACACCCAGGAGUUGUUAGCAUAUUCCUGUGCUAGGUAACGUAGAACUACCCCUCUGAGAUUGGUAUUGGCAUAUUCCCACUUUACAGAUGGGAACACUGAGGUUUAGAAGGUGUAAGUUAAUAGUAAGUGGCGGAACUGUGAUUUGAAUUGUCUGUAUUUGACUCAGUUGCAUUGCUUUCCACUGUACUGACAAGUUCCUGUUGGUUGACAGAAAAGAAGUGACACCUGUUUUUCUUAGUGCUUUGUACUUAAUCUUUACUGAAUCAAUACACUGCACGCUGGUCAGGUCUCUUGAGUCCUUUCUCUUGCACGUGCAGCUUUCAAGGUUACCCUUGGAUUUUUCUCAUUUAUUUCCUGUCUCUGCUGUACACUAAAUGCCCCCUUUUAUCCUCUACUGCUGGCUUUUGUUAGGAACUCUUAUCCCUCAUUGUGCUUUGGAAACGGCAGAAGCCUCAGAUUCCAUUAUUCUGCCCAAGUUGGAUUUGAGAUGUGUGUGGCCAUCUUCUCCUCCCACAGCAGUUUGCUAGCGUCUGGAGUGGUGCUUGCUGUUGGUGUGUUUUAGGUAGUGACUGAAUUAAAAACCUUGUUAGGAUGUUGAAUUUUCAGAGCGGUCAUUGAUGUUCAGCCUGUGUGACUAAUGGACAGUUAUCUUUGUUUCCUCUGGCAUCUUAAUGAGUUCCUGAGUCGUGUUUAUGUAUGCCAUCACUUGCCUGAUUAGUUUUGCAAGGAAACCCUUGAAAUUUUGGAUCAUCCUACCAAUAGGGGAGCCUCCACUUUCAGCACAGCUGGGGAGUUUUUUGGCUCCCUCUUCUCAUCUAGAAGCUGGCUUUCCCCAGAGCUCCUGGGCAGGGGACCACUCUCCUGUGGGGGAGAGGAGAAAGUGUCAGAGGGGUGUCUGUGUCAUAGUCCCUCUGAUAAUCGACAGUUCUCUUCAUCUUACGAAAUUUCAUUAUCCUGAAAUUGUGCACAGGAAAAAUGGUUACAACAAUAGCCUUCAGCUUUAAGGUGAAGAAAUCUCCACUCCAAAGAAAUCUGGAAAUGAACAGAAAUUAAACACUUGAAAAAGAAUCAGGAGUUCCCUUGUGGCUUAGUGGGUUCAGGAUCCAGCCAUGUCAUUGUUGCAGUGGCUCAGGUUCAGUCUGGGAAUUUGCAUGCAGUGGGCACGGUCAGAAAAAUGACAGGCUGUAAGACACUAGAGCAAAGUGUGUAUUUGAAAAGUCAAGCUUUCGUGGAAUACCACUUAUGUCUUAGACCAGAAACCCAUUUUUAUUUGAAAAUAAGAGUUGACAUUUUGAAUUUAAUAUAAAUUAUAUUAAGGUCAUAGGUCUUAAACUUUGAAGUCUCAGGACUCCUUUCUACUCGAAUUACUGGAGACUCCAAAUGGUCUUUGCUCAUGUGGAUUUUAUCUACCAGUAUUUAUUAGAAAUGAAAAAUGAAGUUGGAAAUUUAUAACAAAGGAACAAUGAUAAAGCCUUUACAUGUGAGCAUAAACUCCAUACUUUUAUGAUAAAGGAUUAUAUUCAAAACAAAAAAAUGCAUAUGGGAAAUCUCUCAAUGUCUGUCUUACUGAAACGCAUUUACGCUCUUGGCUGCUUUUGCUUUCUGUGACAUGUUGCUUUGGAAGUAUGUGUCACAUACGUGUAAUUACGAAAAGAGUAUUAGCUGUAGCACGUAAGUGGAUGUACUCUUCAAUAUUGAUAGCUGGCAAGUGAGUUUCACAAAAAUUAGUUGCGGUAUAGAAUAUGAAGCCAUAUCUGUGUCCAUUGGUCUCAGGUGUCGAAUGGCUCUUUUAAAUGCUCGUGACCUCAGCCUUUUGGUUUGGGAAACAUUAGUUCAUUUAGUCCUGCAGGCCUUCUGGGUGUUGACACCUUUCGUUAUAAAACAUCAAAAAAUGAGUUAACAUCACCAUCAAUCUCACCAAAAACCCUCUAGGUAUCAGGAAGCUGUCAAGCUCAUGGCAAGUGCAAGUUUUUGAAAAUCUUAUUUUUCCUUUGAAAGCUUGAUUCUGAUCAUAGGCAAUAAAUACUGUCAGUUAUUUGUCCAUCAAAUGACUGGCUCACUUCGUUUCCAAGAGCGUAUUUGCCAAAUAUCCAAGUCUGGAUAACCAGUUUGUUGGUUCUUUCAAGUGGAUGUGAUCCGUGGGAAGAGUGGACAUGCCAACCGUCAUGUGCAGAAGAAAUCUGAGGUGCUUUACGCAUCCCAUGGGAUAUUAACAUAAAACUAACAUUGAAUGGUUUCUCAAGACAUUCUGAGAUAUGAAGCUGGCGUUAAAAAAAAUUGGUAGUUCAUGGUGGGAUGGUAAAUGCCUACCAGUGCAGUAUGGCUCUGGUGCCUUGAUUGAUGCGAAGGCACCAGCUGUCUUAUUGCCACCACUGCUUGCACACCAUCGGGCGCAAGUGUCAAGGAGGCAGAUGAUGACUAUCGGGAAGAUAGUUUGGCUGUGUGGCCCCUUGGAGAUUGGUGGCUCAUGUUUGGAAGCAGACUUUUGAAGAGUUGGGAGAUAGUUUCCAUUUAGUAGGAAUUUUAAUGUGGUACCAAUUGUCCAAAACAACGUGUAACUCCAGAUUCAUAUUCAUCUUAGACAUGCAUUCAAGACAUACCAGCCUCACUACCUUGUUUUGUUUCUACUGUGCUGCCAUUGGUUUGUACACUCCCUGCCUCGAACAGCAGACAGCUGACAUCUCUUCUGGAGGGGGGUGGGCUGUCCGAAGUUCAGAUACUCCAAGGAGCGAAUCAUCUUCCUGUGGAUAAUGGAGUGGUAAAAUGACUCUCCACCUUAGUGGCUUAGCUGAAAAGCCAGACUACACAAUUAAAAAUUACAGGUCUUGAAAAUACUUGGUGCCAACCUUUAUGUAGCAUUUAACUGAGAAUGUAUCUGGGGUUGGGUUGAGAAUUUUCAUGAAGCCAUUGCCCUUUGCGACACUGAGAACCUCAGUCAUUUCUUAGUGUCCAGAGUGCCCCAGACACUGCCAGAAUGUGAAGAGCUGAGGUUGCUUCUCUAAGGAGCAUCCUGUCAAGUGGAGAACCGUUUGCCUUCUUGUGUAUAACUAGAGUCCCUUUUAACUCGAGUGGACAGUCAUCGAAUAAUAAUCUCAUACCUUGGGCAGCAGGUAUUUGUGCUUUCAUUUAAACUUUGACAAUAGUGUUUCUUGCUCAAACUUUAUUAAAAAAAAAAGUUGGACUUCUGGUCAUGGCUCAGAGGAAACGAAUCUGACUAGCAUCCAUGAGGACCCAGGUUCCAUCCCUGGCAUCGCUUAGUGGGUUAAAGAUCCAGUGUUGCUGUGAGCUGUGGUGUAGGUUGCAGAUGUGGUUCAGAUCUGGCAUUGGUGUAGGAUUUUGAACCCUUAGCCUGGAAACCUCCAUGUGCCAUGAGUGCAGCCCUAAAACCACACACACGUACACGUGUUAAUUCUUGCAAAUGAUGGAUUUCCACUAGUCUCCCCCCCGAGGCUGAGGAUGCCUCUGCAUCUGGCAGGCCAUGUGCCCCUUAGGAAAGGAGUGGAAAACCUGUAGCUUACAUGAAAAAUCCUGCCACACACGCCUGUCUUCUCCCUGUCUUCGUUCGAGGCCAGACAGGUUUGCAAGACGCGGAGCUGACAGCUCUUGCUGUGCUGUCCUGCAGUGUACCCUGCUUCUCUUCUUACCUCAUCGUCUGCUUCGGGACGUCGAAAUUGUGGAUCAGUUUUCUCUUACUAAAGUAUUAAAUGUUUGAUGGAAGGAACUCUGGGCAGCAUGUGUCCUAAUGGCCCCUGUACUCGGCACCACGUGGUACCCAGCCUGGUACAUAGCGGGGUUAGUCACUGCAUUGCCUGUAGAGUGUGUGGGUGCUUCAGUGAGUACAGCCGAACUGACUGGCCGGCAAACCUGGAGCAUCAGCACAGUCCUGACGUCCCCCGUCAGGCUGUGGACGCGCAUCAGCCAGCGGGCAGCGGCGGUGAGGCCUAGAGGCUGGACGGUACCUGGCCCCCGCAGAGUUGAGGUGCAGCCUGCUUCCGAGCCCUGAAUGAGCUUUCUCACCAUUGUAUCUGUUCCUUUGGGAUGUGCUUUCAGCCUGUGAGACUUUCCGAAUCUGAAGAUGAUGAAAGUAAAGCCUUGCAUCCCCAAGGCUUUUAGAUUUUACAGCCCAUCCCUUAGGGCUGGGGAAGUGACUCCACUGAUGCUUCAGCUUCCUCCUGUGUAUGAAGCCGUGUUGUAGAAAGGGUUACGGGGAACUACAAAAUAUUUCGAAACUGGAAAUAAGUGAAUUCUUGUCCAUGCCGCUGAAGAGUCUCGUAGGCUCUCUUACUGGGGGUAUACAUCAUUAGAUGUUAUAUUUACUCAUUGAAAAACUGUCUCAUUAGUGACAAUACCCACAUGCCUACUCAAACUCCUGGUAGCCAUAAAAGCAGAAUUUUUGUGUACAGAUAUACAGGGCCCUUCAUGGGACCAAGGACGGGGAAUGUGGCCAGACUUCGAGGGGCUUGGAACCAGGGUAGGGCUCACGUCCACUCCCCUCCCUCCUUGAAUUGGCUUUAUUCUUCUCUAUGGUAUCAUUUGGGCUUUCUGCACUUGCCUGCUUUCAGGUUCUAAAACCACCCCGUCAGGUUCUGAGUGUGCCAGUCCCAAGUUCAAAUGAGAGUCAAUGAGACAGGAGUCUCAGCUCAAAUUCCCAGCAGAGAGGAUAUGGUCGGCCUGCCUGGUCAGCUGCCCACUCUGAUGCAGCAAAUUCCACCUAGAGGGAAGGAGUCUGGGGAGCGAAUAACUUAAAGGGAUGAAGUAAGAGGCCAGCAUCCGAGAGCCAUCUCGGGACUCUGGAAAUAGUCUGCCAAGGCUGCCGAGCUCAGCAAGUUGGGUCUGAUCCUGCUGGAAUUCCUUGUCUCCUACUGACUUUCCAUAGUUGCCUUAGAAGACACCUGUCACCCCGCCCCGGUCUUUGUGAGGCCCUGAGGACCCAUCCUUGUCUGAGAUGGAAUUUUCAUAGCAGGGCAGCCCAGUCUUGUCUGUCUCUACCAUGCUGGUGGUGAAAUAGUAAUUUUGUCAAAGUAGAAUUCGCAUGGACAGCUCUGGAGCAUGUCAGGAAAAAAACCAUCUUAAAUUUGGUCUCUUUGAGUUGGGCUGUUGUUGGGGGUUUGGGGAGGAGGGGAGCGGUAGAGAUGAGCAACCCUCUUGUACCCUCUGUUUUCUUAGAGAAAGUUGUAUCCGUCCACUUGAUGUUUCAGAAAUAUCUUCGAUAGGACCCUUCAGCAAUGCAUUUUUAACAUCAGGUUAGGCAUUUGUUAAAGAUGAUUGUUCGUUGUCAACCAACUUUACCUGGCAGCUCUGAACACAGUUGCGUUUUCAUGCUGGAUGCUCACGAGAUCUGUUUACAGCUGGGUACCUACGAGUGCAUCGAGCUAAUAAAGUCCCCUGGUUAAAGGGUGUGUCCUAGAUCUAACAUUUGAAAUCCUUGCCGUUAAGUAUGAUAUGAGCAGAUCUUCACGUUGUGGUGAAGCUUAACCAUUUUUGAUGGUUCAUCUUUGAUCAUAAUCUCUAAUUUUUAUAAUUGCUCUCGGGAACCUCUCCGGGAUGUCCUGAGUUUUUGACUGGUGUCCCUCCCCUUACACAGCAGAUAAAGUCGGGUCAUUGGGUUCAGGAAGGGAGUUUGCUUCCCCCUUCUGACUUUAAUGAAAUCACCAAGGAAUUCUCCAAUAGAAAAUGUGGAAAAUACUUGGAAAUGAAUUACAAUGAUAGGUUCCUGUGGCUUGCUCUGAGCUUUUGUGGCCCUGGCUGACUUUUUCUAGACUCUCAAAACAAGUGUCUAGAUAGCACUUCAGGCCCUUUCAUCCUUUUCAUCUUCAGUUGCUAAGACCUGUUCUAUCAGUGAGACUUGUCUUUUUCAUUGUUCGUAGUUAGGAUGUCACAUUGAAAUAGGUGGCUUACUACUUGGCUGGUAUUACUCUUGAACAUGUCCUAUAGUCCACCUUGCAAGUUCUUUUUUGGGCUUCAGGUUCCUAAACAUUCAUGUUGUCCAUUUUGUGGAGAACGCCCUUGGCCGUGGCUGCAGAUGUGAACAUGGACUCUUUCUAGACAAUGUUCGUUAAUGCCCAUCUCUACUCUGCAGAGGUGUUUUCACAGAAUGAAAGAGUGGCCCACGGUGCUCUCUAGGGUAACUUCUAUCGCAACACGUCAGGCUUCAGUUGCAGAGACUCAGUUUUGUUGUCGAGGGUUCUUAAAAGGUAGGAUAAAGUUACAUUAACUGCUCCCUGCAUGCAGCCUCUGGGUCCUGCAUUGCUGUAUAUAUGUAAUGCUUAAAAUGGUGGUUGCUUCCUAAGUAUUGCUGAAUUAAAGAAAUAGCUGCAUGGGGACCCUUCUGAAACUCCUGUAAGGUUGUAUUUUGAGCCAGCCGAAGUCUGACUGGUCACUUGGAGUCUUUUUUGAAUAAGGAUUAAAACCCCUCUUAGGUUAGUUGCAAAUACAAACUCGGGUUUCUUACUCUGCAGGAUGUGUAGUCACAGGAGACUGGGCUGUGUCUUCCCUGCUCCUCUGCCCUAGGACUGCCUACUUGAUUAAUUCAGUUUAAGCUCUUCCCUCUAGGCUACUAAUCCUAUUUUUCCAGCAGAGAAGCAGCGGGAGGGAAUAGUAAUAUGUCUCAUGGCUAUUAAAAGAUGAUACUGCCUUGCACAAAGUACUUAUUCUCUGAAAAAGGAUGAUUAAGCAGAAAUUUGAUUCUCAUCUAUGCUUUUGCUUUUGUCAUAUUCCUUUAUCUUCUAGUGUAGUCGGGGGAGAAGCAUCAUUUUUAUCGUCAUUGCUGAUAAUUUUCAGCAUCAUAACAGGAUGCUUGUUGAGACGUGCUUACAUUUUACCAAACCAUUAUGAACCCUAGUUGCCAGAGGGGGAGAAGACAGUGAAAAUUGAAAUGAUCUUUGGCAUGUGGUGUUUUCUGAAAUACUAAUUUGAAAUAAGAAGCAUGUUUUAUGGUCUCUGCCAACAAUAUCCUCCAAAUUCCUAUAGGUCAGCUUUUCUCACUGAAUACUUUUGUCCUUCAGUUUAUAUAUACACGCGGAGAAGGCGUCUUUAAAACUGAGACCAUUCUAAUUCAUAAGCCGGCAGCUAACCCAGACCCUUUAAAACCCCUGUUGAAUGUGUUAAUGAAAACCAAGGGAAGUGCUAUAGUACGGGAGGGGAUGAGACUCCUCUUUGCCCUGUAGAUUGAACCAGUAAAUUUCUAGGACAUUUCGAGUUAAGUAUUGCAACUGCUUGUCCACAGGUGAUGGAGUGGAGUUCUGAUGUACUUCUGCUUUUGCUGCGGGGUCUUGAAUUCUAAAUUUCAGCCUGAUGGGCGCAUAGAUGUUAGAUCGUGCUCUGAGCUUUUUUUCUGUGGCUGGAAUAUUUCGCCAUCACCAUCAUCAUGGCCAUCUUCAUCAUCUUGCGUCACUGGAUCCUCUGAUCCAGCUUCGGAGAAUCCUUCUGUAAGAAGGAAUCUUAAAUAUGGAAGAUGUUGGUAUAGCAGACUUGCCAUUGUGGAUUCACUUAACAUAGCAAGAAAUCCAAAGCAUCCUUUAUGUCCAGUUUUAAGGUAGAUUUGGUGAUGACCACUUGCUAUACAUUCACAUAGACGACAUUUUCAUUCAAACUGCUGUUCUUUCAAAUAUGAAAACAGACCCUGCCACUUACAAGAAAUUAUAUUUUACAAUAUGACGAGUGGUUUAAUAAACCCUGCAGGUAAAAACCUGAAUGGUGAUGGUGACAGAGGACAGUAAACUUUUCAUCGUUUUCUGAUUUUUUGCAUUUUCAGUUUUUUAAAGGGAACCACAUUUGUAUAAUGGAACAUUGAAACAUCAUGUAGGUAUUUUAAAGUGAACAAGACAUAGCUAGAAAUGACCCUUUGGUAAAAAGUGUAACUUGUAAAAUGAGUCUUGUUGGGUGUAGAAGUGUCUUUGGUAUGUUUUGGGGCCGGGCUGCUGGGAGGUAAACAGGUUCCAGUCAGCAGCUCUCAGUUGAGUCAUAGCUCCUGAAUGCUGGCUCUAAGUCCAGGAUAAAGGAAUUGGAAAGAGAGGGAAGGUGUUUGAACAGGUCAGUGGGCACCAAAGGCACCAGUGAUCUCACUCAUGCCGUAUCUUGGACCAACUGUCUUGCAUUUAGCUUUGUUCUUAUUACCAUUAUACUUUCUAGUGCUAUGAACUUUGGAUGCAAUGUCAGUUUUGAAUUAAGAUCUGUCCUGAGUUGGAGAAGCAGAGGCGAAAACAAAAUGCCAAUCAAUGAUGCAUUCUAAAUCUAAGUUGUUAUUAUCUUAAGAAAUGUGUGUUCUUAAUUUUACUUGAUGAAGGUGGACCGGCUACAGGGUUUUUUCAAAGUAGAAUAAGGCUGAAUACGGGCCCGGCUGGUUUUCUUGUCUAUACGAUGGAAACGAUAUGACCGUUCUCAGAGGAUUUUGUGCUUAUGAAAUGAGAGAAUGAUUAUGCAGGCUCUUGAUACAGUGAGUUCAUGAUAUCUACUUGGUAGAUGAUUAUCACAAACUAAUGAAUUAAAUGGUAUUUCUUAAUGCUGUGCCUUGGAAUAGUCUGUCAUACUAGCUUAGAAGAGAAAACCGGUCUACUUUGUAAAUGGUUCCUUAGCUGUGCACAUGAAUGGGAGCAGGAUUAUAGGUAAGCUCUUUGGUGAGAGAUUUUUUCUGGUGAACUUGUAAGCAAAGAAAAGGGUAACAUAAACAAGAGUGUAAUGGUAUUAAUUUGAAUUAAUAUGACAGUUACCUAGUUAUCUUCUUUUGCUCUUCAUUUAAUAUUUUACCAUUUUAUAACUUGAUCUCUGGGGCAUUUUGAACAGAAGAAAUUUGGCAGAGUAUACUUGUUUCAGUGGAGUUCCUAAAAACAAUUUUUGAGGACUGAAUUUUUGGUCUUUUUGCUAUUUCUUGGGCUGCUCCCGCAGCACAUUGGAGGUUCCCAGGCUAGGGGUCGAAUCAGAGCUGUAGCCACUGGCCUACGCCAGAGCCACAGCAAUGCAGUAUCCGAGCUGCAUCUGCGACCUCUACGCCACAGCUUUAACCCACUGAGCAAGGCCAGGGAUGGAACCCCCAACCUCAUGGUUCCUAGUCGGAUUUGUUAACUACUGCGCCACGACGAGGACUCCUGAGGACUGGAUUUAAAUAUUCCCAGAAAGGUGGAGCGAGUCCACCUGUAAUGGGAUAAUCUAUGUCAUCCUGUGUGCCAGGUGGAUGUCACGGAUGCUUUGUCAGUGGCUGCAAAAAUGUGUAAGCUUCUUGAGAUCAGAAUUGUUCACCUCUGUUCUUCUAGUCCUGAGAAUAUUCUUAGCACGUAGUAAUGAAUAGAUGGUACAUGACUACCCAGUUCCUUAAAGCUUCAACUCUAACCCGAUGAAAGAAACACAACUGUUCUGCUCUUUUUAUAGUGUGAAAUAUUUAAUAAUUUCUGGGAAAGCAGUCUUCACUCCUCAGCAUUCAAAACAUGUACCAGCACCUUCUUGGUCUUCUAAAACUUUUUCCCCUCUCCCAGCGAUGGCACAUUUGCUCUGCUCAAAUUCGAAGUCUCAUCAUGGACCAACUCAUCCAGCGAAUCUCGUCCAAGGGGCCCCGCACACACAAGAAAAGCUUCAUGUUUUCAUACUAACAGUUGUGUUCUUAUGCUUGAUUUCCAUAGUUGCCUAUAUUAUGUCAGUCUAAGGAGCUGGAAAGAAAUUUUAACAGGGUAUUGGGGUUGAGAGUGCCUUAAAAAUCGUGGUAGGGAGACGUUUUGCCUUGAAUGAUGAAAUGAACCCCACAUUUGCAGUGUUAAUGAUUUUCAAUGGCGUGUCCUCGUAUGAUGGCUCUUUUUUGGCUUUUUAGGGCCACAUGUGCAGCAUAUGGAAGUUCCCAGGCUAGGGGCUGAAUCAGCUCCAGCUGCCGACCUACAUCACAGCUACAGCAACUCAGGAUCCGAGCCGUGUCUGUGACACCAUAGCUCCGCAACACCGGAUCAAACCUGCAUUCUCAUGGAUACUAGCUGGAUUUGUUUCCAUUGCAUCGCAGUGGAAACGCUCUGGUUGAUUGCCUUUCUGGCUCAGCUGAGCUCAGCUUAAAACUAAAAGUUGUUUGGCAAAUUUUGAAGAAAGUUUUAUUCUAAAUUUCCAUUCUCAAAAUGCACCGGGAAGAUCGAUGUAAACGAAAGAGAAUGUGAAUGUAGAUGUUGGGACACUUAGAUGGUCCUCGAUAAAGAGAACGCCUCCCCAGGUUAAGUGGCACCAACGUUCAUCACCAACAGCCCAGGGACGUGCCUCACUUUAAUUCAGGUUUCUAAUACAUAUAUCACAUACAUGUUACAUAAUGUUAGGUUUCUGUCUAAUACAUAUAUCACAUACAUGUUAUAUGAUGUUAGGUUUCUCUCUAAUACGUAUAUCACAUGUUAUAUGUUAGGUUUCUGUCUAAUACAUAUAUCACAUACAUGUUAUAUAAUGUUAGAUAACAUAAAAUCAUAGUCUUAUAUUCAGAACUGGGUUUUCAUGAACAGAAAACUGGAUUCCCGGCCUCCUCUUGGAGUAUAUAGUGCUCCAUGUAAUUACAUAGACCUCUCAGUAUCUGUAAAACUAACAAGAUUAAGGCCUCAUCUCUUUAUAGAAGACACCCUGACUAGCCAUGUGGGUCCCA